rnacentral:rRNA from 1 species
GAACGCUGGCGGCGUGCCUAAUACAUGCAAGUCGAGCGAACAGAUGAGGAGCUUGCUCCUCUGACGUUAGCGGCGGACGGGUGAGUAACACGUGGAUAACCUACCUAUAAGACUGGGAUAACUUCGGGAAACCGGAGCUAAUACCGGAUAAUAUAUUGAACCGCAUGGUUCAAUAGUGAAAGACGGUUUUGCUGUCACUUAUAGAUGGAUCCGCGCCGCAUUAGCUAGUUGGUAAGGUAACGGCUUACCAAGGCAACGAUGCGUAGCCGACCUGAGAGGGUGAUCGGCCACACUGGAACUGAGACACGGUCCAGACUCCUACGGGAGGCAGCAGUAGGGAAUCUUCCGCAAAGGGCGAAAGCCUGACGGAGCAACGCCGCGUGAGUGAUGAAGGUCUUCGGAUCGUAAAACUCUGUUAUUAGGGAAGAACAAAUGUGUAAGUAACUAUGCACGUCUUGACGGUACCUAAUCAGAAAGCCACGGCUAACUACGUG